rnacentral:rRNA from 1 species
CAGUAGCCGCGGGAAAACGUAGGUGGCAAGCGUUGUCCGGAAUUAUUGGGCGUAAAGGGCUCGCAGGCGGUUUCUUAAGUCUGAUGUGAAAGCCCCCGGCUCAACCGGGGAGGGUCAUUGGAAACUGGGAAACUUGAGUGCAGAAGAGGAGAGUGGAAUUCCACGUGUAGCGGUGAAAUGCGUAGAGAUGUGGAGGAACACCAGUGGCGAAGGCGACUCUCUAGUCUGUAACUGACGCUGAGGAGCGAAAGCGUGGGGAGCGAACAGGAUUAGAUACCCGCGUAGUCCCUGUCUCUUAUAC